CCUACGGGAGGCAGCAGUGGGGAAUAUUGCACAAUGGGGGAAACCCUGAUGCAGCGACGCCGCGUGAGGGAAGAAGUAUCUCGGUAUGUAAAGCGCUAUCAGCAGGGAAGAAAGAAAUGACGGUACCUGACUAAGAAGCCCCGGCUAACUACGUGCCAGCAGCCGCGGUAAUACGUAGGGGGCAAGCGUUAUCCGGAUUUACUGGGGGUAAAGGGGGCGUAGACGGGGAUGCAAGUCUGAAGUGAAAGGCGGGGGCCCAACCCCCGGACUGCGUUGGAAACUGUAUGGCUGGAGUGCAGGAGAGGUAAGUGGAAUUCCUAGUGUAGCGGUGAAAUGCGUAGAUAUUAGGAGGAACACCAGUGGCGAAGGCGGCUUACUGGACUGUAACUGACGUUGAGGCUCGAAAGCGUGGGGAGCAAACAGGAUUAGAUACCCCAGUAGUC
rnacentral:rRNA from 1 species